rnacentral:rRNA from 1 species
GAUGAACGCUGGCGGCAUGCCUAAUACAUGCAAGUCGAGCGAACGGACGAGAAGCUUUCUUCUCUGAUGUUAGCGGCGGACGGGCGAGUAACACGUGGAUAACCUACCUAUAUGACUGGGAUAACUUCGGGAAACCGGAGCUAAUACCGGAUAAUAUUUUGAACCGCAUGAUUCAAAAGUUCAAGACGGUCUUCCCGUCACUUAUAGCUGGUUCCGCGCUGCAUUAGCUAGUUGGUAAGGUAACGGCUUACCAAGGCGACGAUGCAUAGCCGACCUGAGAGGGUGAUCAGCCACACUGGAACUGAGACACGGUCCAGACUCCUACGGGAGGCAGCAGUAGGGAAUCUUCCGCAAUGGGCGAAAGCCUGAUGGAGCAAAGCCGCGUGAGUGAUGAAGGUCUUCGGAUCGUAAAGCUCUGUUGUUAGGGAAGAAAAUAUGUGUAAGUAACUGUGGACAUCUUGACGGUACCUAAUCAGAAAGCAACGGCUAACUUCGUG